rnacentral:rRNA from 1 species
UGCCAGCAGCCGCGGUAAUACGGAGGGUGCAAGCGUUAAUCGGAAUUACUGGGCGUAAAGCGUGCGUAGGCGGUUUGUUAAGUGAGAUGUGAAAGCCCCGGGCUCAACCUGGGAACUGCAUCUCGAACUGGCUAACUAGAGUGCGGUAGAGGGGAGUGGAAUUUCCUGUGUAGCGGUGAAAUGCGUAGAUAUAGGAAGGAACACCAGUGGCGAAGGCGACUCCCUGGACUGACACUGACGCUGAGGUACGAAAGCGUGGGGAGCAAACGGGAUUAGAUA